rnacentral:lncRNA from 12 species
AAACAUAGGUAUUGGUGGGGGGGGGGCGGCAGCAGGUAAGGGACUGGGGGCGGCGGCAGGUUGGGGGAGCGGCAGCAGGUGGGGGGAGCAGCAGGGGUGGGAGCGGCACGUGGGGGCGAGGCGGGGCGGUGGCAGGUGGGGGGGGCGGCGGCAGGGGGGGGCGGCAGGUGGCUGUCGGCUGCUCGCCUGACGGGUCCUGGCUUUUGAGUGCUACCCAUGAAGAAAGAGUUCUGUUUUCUAGGAUGUCCGGUUUGCGACCUAAGCGCCAGAGCAUGCAGUGCCGCGCGGUGAGCCCUGCUGCUACGUGCAAUGACAAAAAGAAGCCAGAGGUCAUUAAAAGCCAUCCUAUAUAGCACAGAAAGCAGAACUGCAGGCUCAGGAAAAAGAACAUAAUAUCAUCUGUGGCUAUUAUGGAUGGCUUACUGUGGACAAGCCAUGGCCCUGAGCCUGGUGAAAACAGGGAGGAGACACCCUAGUGGCAGCUGUUCAGGAAGGAGGGACGUGCAAUGUUGCAGCUCUGGGGAGGUAAACAGCAGCUCCUGCCCUUCGCUGGAGAAACGUAUGCUGAGAACACUGACACACGACCGGACAGUGAAACCACGCAGAGGGAAGCGCUGUCGCAAACACCAGCAGUUGGGCUGAGUGUGUGUAGUGUGUGAAGGAAAGGACUCCCCACCCACGGGGAGGAGAGGAUUGCCAGCUAGCUCCACAGCUGAAGUGAUCAACAAGGAAUGGAGCCCUUGAUAUUUAGCCGGGUGCAUCACAGCCCAGAACAAGAGUCAUUUCUGAGCCACUCCGAGAACCAGAGCUCUGAACUACUUGGAU